rnacentral:ncRNA from 1 species
UACCAUUAAAGGCAAACCUGUCGAAAGAUAGGGACGCAAAGCCACGGGUCCAAAGCAGGAGCACUGCAAUGACAGCCGGGUUACCGAA